rfam:Picea glauca, whole genome shotgun sequence.
AUGUACAUGCCUACAACGCUAAUGUAGUGGAUCUCUCAUUAGAACUUUGCAGUUAAACAUGCUUGGGCUAGAGUAGUACCGAGAUGGGUGACCUCUCGAAAAGUCCUAGUUUUUUACAUG